GGAAGGGGAAAAGAAAGGGAAGAGGAAAAGGAGAGGUGAGGCGGUAUUGGCGGGGCCGUGCCAGCCUUCCUCGGCGCGACCCGGGCUGGAAGAGCAUUAUACACAUGGGAGUCGGCCGUCGCGGUGUGUUUGGGCGGAGCAGAGCCCGCCCGAGCAUGCUUUCCGUUGUGCAGUAAGGAUGUUGUACAGAGCUGUUUAGUUCAGCUUAAAUGAUACUUCUUGGGGUCUGAGUGCCUACCGUGCUGGGAUCACCACAGGCCAGCAACUGCUCCUACUGUAACUACUACCACUCCCUGCUGUAAUAGGUGAGGAAGAGAGCACCCAUCAACGUGAAGGAUGUGAGAGCUAGAUGUGUGAGGGAAAGGUCAGUGGUCACUGACCUUUUGGCAAAAUAAGCCAACACACAUAAAUUAUAAUAAUCUGUUUUAAGAACAGAAAGCCUAGAACAUCCUCUAGGUCAGCAAUAUCCUGAUGCUUGAGGGUUUAAUUCUAGAGGUUUGUUGUUUUGAUUUUUGUUAUUUUUUUAAUUUAAAGAGGAGAAAAGGAGUAGUACUUCCCCUUCCUGCCCACAUCUGUUUACACACAGACAAAUGCACUUCCCAUGACAAAGGCAGCCCUGUAUUCCAGACAGGGACUGGGUUGGACUGGGAACCAAUCUGUAUUUCCUGCAGGCCAACCAGCCCUUUCACCUAAGGUCAGCAAACAUCUGUAACCUCAGUGUGGGAAUCUGGGUAGUGUUACUGUCAAAUGACUAAUGCAAACUGUGAUCUCCUCCUAGGGGAAUGAAUUAUUUGUCCAAGACACUUAAGCACAGUGCCAUUUCUGAGACAUCAGUGAACUUCAUAGCUGUUGAGAACGUCUUGUAUAAAAAGCACGACACUUGACAGAAGUCAGAGACUUAAGAGAAAUCCUUCAUAAAUUUUCUGCUACUACUGGUUAAUGGUUUGGGGGUUUUGUCACUUUCUGUCUAGGACUUAAAUAAACAUUUCCUGUUUGCUUUGUA